CCAGAGCACGUGGCACAGGAUUGUGUCCAAAUGCUUCUUGAAUAUCUCCAGUGAGACAGACUGCACAACCUCUCUGGGCAACCUGUUUCAGUGCAUGGUUACUUGCAUAGUAAAGAAGUUAUUGCUCAUAUUCAGGUGGAACUUCCUGUGCAUCAGUUUCUGCCCGUUGCCUCUUGUCCUAUUGAUUGGCACCACCAAGAAGAGCCUGGCUUCAUUCCCUUUUGGGGAUACUUACUGAAAGUAUGAGGGAUACUUUCAGAUACUUACUGAUAAAAUCAAAAUACAAGUAACUGUAGCCUGAGUUAAACAGCAGGUAGAGGUAGAGAUUAUCUUCCACCUGUGAAGACCAAAGACAUGGAGUAGCUUGUGGUACAUCACUGUGAAGAGUUGGGGUGGGAACCUCUCAUUUUUCUGGCACUAUGCAAAGAAAAAGCAUCUCCCCUUUGCCCCUGGACCAUUAUGCGCAAAGCAUCUAGCUGGCUGAAACUUCACUUUCCUCUGGGAGCAAUAUUGUAGAGAAUUGUAUCUUCUCUAGUGUACAAAAUUGCUCUGACAGCUUAUCACUGCUUGUUUAACAGCUGACUGUUCUCACUUUCUUUAGGCGCUAGAUAAUAAGCACAGUGAAACAAUUAUCGUGCUCCAUUGAUGCGCUAACCCUCAAAGCCUCUUUGCUGUUGAGUUCCAAAAACCAGCUUCAUUCACUCUUAAUUGAGGUUUGUCUUCCAGAGCUUCUGAAGGAUGAUGAUUCUUCAAUCAUAGCAGCCACAAUUAUAUUCACUGAGUCAUGGACAGUUAUUUUCAACAGACCUACCUAUAACGCUUUGGCAUAAGUUAAAGGUGAUGGCUAAAUCUCUUCAUUUCAUCAAAAUUUUGCGCAUAGAAGUGUAGGACUGGAAAAAAACAAAACAAAACUGCUGGAUCAGAGUGCACUCUUCUCUAGCUGCAGAAAACAAAACAAUAGACAUUAAUUUCAGGAUUGGAGAAUACCUCUUUCAUCUCUCUCCACAUACCAAGGGCCACAGGGCCAACUUCCUGUCAAGAUUUGAAAACUUUAAAAUUUUGGUAGAAGAUGAAAAGCCACUGUGAUAGUUGGAUUACAAGAAGAUCAUAAGAGAGAUCAAGAGUACCACCAGUGUCUUAGAUACUUUCAAAGAUAAAGACUGAACUCGAAAAAUAAUCUUCCACUGUGUUUACAGUUGUGGGGUUUGGUGAUCCAUAUGAAUUCUCCAUUCCUUGGGUUUAUUUAAGGUAAAGCAGAAUGUCAACCUCUUUUCAGUUACCUCAAGAAACAGAUAACAUGAUACAUUUCCCCCAGCUCUCCUUUAUUUCUGUUUAAUAGACCUAAAGCUGUCCAACAAUGGCUUGCCAUAUCCUGGGCUGCAUCGUUUUUAGCAGAACUCUCUUCCAGCUCAUGUUCAUGAGCUCAAAAAUGUAAGUCACAGACAUCCUAAUUGAGGAUGCAGGUUGCUCUGUAAUUAAUCCUGGAACGGGCACCAGGAAGUCAAAUAGAAUCCGUCAAUCUAAAUUUAGUUGUUAAAAGUCUGGAAAAAUACCUCAUACUUUUAGAGUUCCGUGAGAAUUAUCUGCUCAGCCCUGGAAGUAGUUUUAGGAAAAGGCUGAGUUUACUUGAAAUGCAACUCAAACUCACUUGAAUCCUUCAACAGCCACUUCAAAAUAGAGAAGGCUCUUGGCACUGUGUCUGAUGGAGCAGAAGGUCUGUGCUAAAACCUUGCUUGUAGGCAACCCUGUGUGCUACUGCUCUCCAGUUGUGGGAACUGCACUCGGUUGUGUUACCAAAACACCUGCCUAAGUGGUCAGCUGGAUCUUCCUCAUUGCAAGACUCUUCUCUGCUACGUAGGGUGGCAGUGUUGGCUGUGCUUUCUGGGAGGACCUAUUUUGGGAACAACCAUGCUCCAGGAAGCCGCUGGGACUUACCAGCCCCUGGGAGGAUGCUGAGAGCAGAUAAAAUAGAAACAGCUUGCGAGGAGCUCUGUGGCACUGCUGAGAACCUGGAUCAGAUUAUCACCUGGACUCAGCUUGCCCUUGUGGAAUCUAUCUUUGGAAGUAGUGGCAGCAGUGCUGGAGUCAGUAUUGUGCAGCUACAAAGGAUGGAACUGUCAAAGUGGAUUUGGAGCUGGAUUUGAAGAUCGUUUUAAAUUUGUAAAUUUAAAAGUGGAGAAGUAUGCCUGCAGGUUUCCAAUAAAAAAGUGGAGGCAUCACUUUUGGUACAUCCUCUGGACUAAAAGACUCUUGACAUCAGCGAAAUAAAGCUGGAUGUGACUGGGAAAUGACCUGGUGUAAGGCACCUUAAACUCAGCCUGGCAGGUGACUUUGGCAUUGUUUUGCUGUGUGGGGCUACGUACGCACGUAGGAAGUUCACAGGGGAGAUUUUUCAAGUUUUCCUUUCCUGGAGAGUGAUCUGUAAACAUGCUGUCAAAGCCAAGCAUUUGAUUUUUCUGUUGUCCUCACAGCAACAUGCUGAGGAUCAGCUGUGCGCCAUGGCCUUCCCCCCUUCAGAAAACUUGGAGAUUUCAAGGAGGGAAUUGUAAUCCAUUGUUGGAUACCAGUUCUGUCGGGUUUCCUUCUCUGCUGAAAACAGCCAACAGGAAAGUAAUUACAGAAGCAGAUGUGACUUGUGACGUAAAUGUUACUUCUGGCCAUUUUUUGCCUUUUUUUUUUAACUAUUCCAACAGGGUGAUUCCAAAGCAAAAGUCAACUGGUACACGAGACACAUGGGCCUAUGGUGGCAAUUUCAAGCUUUUUCUUGGCUCAGUCAGGUCCAGGGACAGUUUGCAAUACCUUACCAAUCAUUUUUUCAAAUUAAAUUAGUCAGUAAGAGAAAUUUUCAGAGCAGCCUCAAUAUAUGCAUCCCAUGUAACUGCCUGCAAUGAAUCCCACUACUCUGUCCUCUGACUUACUGAUGUCUCUGUCCUGAGCAAGAUAUUGAAGUGUUGCUUGUAAUUCCUUUGGAGUAAUAAAUCAGUAAGUAUUUUCCAUCUCA